rnacentral:rRNA from 1 species
UGGGGAAUUUUGGACAAUGGGGGAAACCCUGAUCAAGCCAUCCCGCGUGUGCGAUGAAGGCCUUCGGGUUGUAAAGCACUUUUGGCAGGAAAGAAACGUCAUGGGUUAAUACCCCGUGAAACUGACGGUACCUGCAGAAUAAGCACCGGCUAACUACGUGCCAGCAGCUGCGGUAAUACGUAGGGUGCAAGCGUUAAUCGGAAUUACUGGGCGUAAAGCGUGCGCAGGCGGUUCGGAAAGAAAGAUGUGAAAUCCCAGAGCUCAACUUUGGAACUGCAAUAUUAACUACAGGGCUAGAGUGUGACAGAGGGAGGUGGAAUUCCGCGGGUAGCAGUGAAAGACGUAGAUAUGCGGAGGAACACCGAUGGCGAAGGCAGCCUCCUGGGAUAAAACUGACGCUCAUGCACGAAAGCGUGGGGAGCAAACAGG